GUUCUAAAAGUAACAUGAACAAUAAAAUUUUAUGGUUAUGACUUGUUAGUUUUGGUGGAAUCAACCAACACUAUUUCAACUUCUUUUUUUUUUGGUUUAAAAUAUUAUUUCAACUUGAUUGUCAAUUACAAGGCAUGAUAAUUUUGGAUGUUAGAAAAACAAACUACAAGUUAUUUACAACCAAACUCUUAUUAUAUCUUUCGAUUAUAUUAGGAAUAGGUUAGUGACAAACUGACCGAGGAUUUCGCGAAGCUCAUUUCCAUGGUUGAAUCCGCUUGACCUCAACAGAUUUUUCACACUUUGCAAACUUCUUAUUAGUGAGCAUAUUUUUGAAAAACUUAUGGAGCCCCUAUCUUUAUUCCCUUUGUUUCACCUUAGCUUCAAGUUUUAUGAACCUUCCUCAUUUGAGGUUUUAAGUGAAUGAAAGUUGUUUGACAAAAAAAAGGUCAGUGACAAGCUCUCUAGUUUACAUAAGAGUAAAGCUUGUCUGUAAGUGCCACUUCUAGCUCGAGUUUGUAUUUUCGGAAGGACUAAGAAAUCAUCAUUUUGCUUGCUAUCACUGCAAAAGAUUUUUUAAUCAUUUCCAGUAAUUGUUAGAUUACUUCUAACUUUUUCUUUUUCAAAUUUCUUUUAAUAAUGUUGAUUUGUAUUUUUUUUAA
rnacentral:sRNA from 1 species